rnacentral:snRNA from 1 species
GUGCUUGCUCCGGCAGCCCAUGCACUAAUAUUGGAAUGAUACAGAGAUUAGCAUGACUUCUGUGCAAGGAUGACAUGCAAAUUUGUGAAGUGUUUCAUAUUUUU